UGUAGAGACUGCUGCUGUGCCAGCUGGCUAGGUCGCUCUCAGAAAACAAUCUUCCAAUGUGUCUGUUAUGUUGUUCAAAAGAGACACCUUUCUGCGGCAUGACGAAAAUGUCUCAUGUGAGGAUGGAUUCUCCAUCUCAUCUUCCUUUUAGAUCUCCAGCUAGAUUCUACUGGAGCGGAAUAGACUUAACAGAGAACCCUCUCACAUUCUGCUGAAGGAAAUGGGAGCUGAUGGUGACAUUAGGGGAAACAGAAACUUCAAGGAGCUCUUGACCCAGGCUGAGGCCUGUAUCCUGCCUGUGCAGCACACAUGGCCUCAGUAUGUUAGAAGAUCAGCAAUGAACAUGGAUGAGCAAGUAUUCGAGAAGGAUAUAGUGUCCCUUGGGUGUAUGCCCAAGAGUGAUAUAGCUAGAUCCUGGUAUAUCCAUUUCUAACCAUCUGAGAAGCCUACGCACUGAUUUUCAUAGUGACUUCACCGGUUUGCAAUACUACCAGCAGAGAAUUGGGCUUCCUCUUUCCCCACCUUCACAGUGCUAUUUUUGUCCUUUUUAAAAAUCAUUUCUACUCUGAUUAAGGUAAAAUGAAAUCUCUCUGA